rnacentral:lncRNA from 1 species
UUCGCUCCCUUCCUGAAGGCGUUGGCUGUUGAAGAACAUCAUUGUCCUUGUGGUGUCAUGAUAGUUGGUGCGGAUAUGGUCAUUGCUAUAGAUUGUGGAUCGUGGAUUUGAUCCCUUUGGGGUUUUUUUCUUUUUUCUGGCUUAGCCAUCGUGUUUUAGUGUGUGUUUGUUAGACCUUCAACCUGAGCAUUGAUAGUUGUGGAUGACACUAGGAGAGUUGGGACAAUUUUCGUUGGUUUAUUUCUCACACAAUGCCAUGCCAACCUGAGGGGUUGGGGAUACAUAUUUAUAGGCUGCUAGCCAGCCAAGCAUAUGCUAAGAUGCUAGUCUAAGAUGCUAACUAACAGUCCUUGAUGGUCAAGAACAGAACUCUAUCCUAACAGCCAGUCCUUGAUGGUCCAGGAUUUUAUCCUCCUAACUGCCACAAGGACCAUGUGCUGCAGCCCCACAAAGACCCUAGUACACAGACUUAUCCAUCAUUCUCCCCCUAAGUCUUGUACGUCGUCUUGUGGGAGAGUUGAAUCAUCCCGAUCCUGGAGCAAAGCUCGUGGAACUUGAUCCUCCCAAGAGGCUUGGUGAGCAGGUAUGCGAGCUGGUCUGUGGUGUUGAUGUAGCUCGCCUCGAUGCUCCCUUCUUCCAAGCAGCUGCGGAUGAAGUGAUACCUCAGUCGGAUGUGCUUGCUCCGUUCGUGAAAAACAGGGUUCUUUGCCAGAGCCAGGGCGGACUUGCUGUCCACCAGGAGCUGCACCGUUCUGGUAUCUUGAACGAGAAGAUCACCAAGCAGUCGAGCGAGCCAGAGCGCUGAGUGCAGGCGGUGGAGGCCGCUAUGUACUCAGCCUCACAGCUGGACAGGGCCACCACCUGCUGCUUGACUGAUUGCCAGCUCACGAGACACUUGCCGAGGAAGAAAAGGAUCCCGCUCGUGCUCCUGCUGGUGUCGAUGUCGCCGGCGUGGUCGCUGUCGCUGUACCCGACGAAGUGUGCCGCCCCCGGACACCUAGGGUAGUGGAGGCCGUGGUCGAGGUCCCUGCUACGUAGCGGACGAUCCUCUUCACUGCCUGCUGGUGUUCCGUCGUCGGUCGCUCCAUGAACCGACUGACAUAGCCGACGGAGAAGGCCAAGUCCGGCCAUGUGUGGGCGAGGUAGCGAAGGCUCCCCACAAGGCGUCGGUACUGCGUAGCGUCCACUUCCUCCGUCGUGCUGUCGCGACUCAGUUUCAGCCUCUCUUCCAUCGGAGUGAGAGCUGGGUGGCAAUCGGUGAGCCUAGCUAGCUCAACGAUGCGCUUGGCGUAGGCGGACUGUCGAAGCGCGAUCCCGGAGUGAUCCUGGUGCACCUCAAUCCCUAGAUAAAAGGAGAGGAGCCCUAGAUCACUCAUCUGGAAGGUGGCCUUUAUGUCUUCCUUGAACGCCGCCACCUCUGCAUCUUUGGUGCCGGUGAUCACCAAGUUGUCAACAUAGACGCCCACCAGCAGGGCAUUUCCUCCACUGCCCCGUCGGUAGACGGCCGCCUCAUGCGGGCUUUGCUCGAAGCCCAUCUUAUUUAGCGUGGAGUCCAGCUUGGCGUUCCACGCCCUAGGUGCCUGCCGUAGGCCAUAGAGAGCCUUGCGCAGGCGGAGUACCUUGCCCUCCUGGCCGGGGAUCACAAAUCCCGGUGGCUGAUGCACGUAGACUUCUUCCUUCAAGUCGCCGUUGAGGAAUGCCGACUUGACGUCCAUGUGGUGGACAUGCCAGCCCUCCUGGGCAGCCAGAGCAAGGAGAAGUCGCACGGACUCCAUCCGUGCCACGGGAGCGAAAGCGUCGUCGAAGUCGACUCCUUCCUGCUGCAAGAAGCCUCGGGCCACCAAGCGAGCCUUGUGCUUGAUGAUGGCGCCGGCUCCAUCCCUCUUCAGCUUGAACACCCACUUAAGGGUGAUUGCGCGGUGACCUCGAGGGAGAUCAGCGAGCUCCCAGGUGCGGUUUUGCUCGACCGCAUCCAUCUCCAACUGCAUCGCGGCGCUCCAUGCCGCGUCUCUCUCGGCCUCUGCAAAGGACCGUGGUUCGCCGUCUUCACACGCGAGCUGUAGCUGCGCCUCCAGGUCACGUGGCACCAGUCCCGGCACCGGCUGGUCGCCGAGCAGAUUAUCCAUCGUACGGUACCGCAGCGGUUCGCCGUCAUGCCACGCGUCGAUACGCUCCUCGAGUGAGCGGGGAAGCGAACUUCAUCGGGUUGUGCUCUGCGUGAGCUGGUGCUGAUGAAGACGAGCCCGGAGUGGUGACCGCCGGGGCUGGAGUAUGCCGCGUCGCCGGUUGUGGUGUCGUCGGCAUAGCAGGCGCCGGAGUCGAUGUAGUUUUGGGGGCCGGGGUAGAAGUGCCCGGCGAAGAGGAGUUGCUUGCUCCCCCAGCUUCCUUGAGGUGGGCCUACUCGACAAUGAAGUCGUCAUACGUCGGCGUCGAGCCGUCGUCCACCGCCUUGUCCCAUUGCCACCCUCGCCCUUCGUUGAACACGACGUCUCGCGUCGUGCGCACACGUUGUGUCUUUGGGUCGAGGAUGCGGUAGGCCUUUGAGCCCUCCGCGUAGCCGAUGAAGACCCCCGGAGUGCUCCUGUCGUCGAGCUUGCCGAUAUGGCCGAGCUCCUUGGCGAACGCAAGGCAGCCAAAAACCCGCAAAUGAGAGACCGCCGGCUUCCGCCCAUGCCAGGCCUCGUACGGAGUCCUGCCGUCGAGUGCCUUAGUAGGUGAGCGGUUGAGGAUGUAGACGGCCGUUAGCACCGCCUCUCCCCAGAAGACAGCCGGCAUCCCUCUCUGCUUGAGGAGAGCCCGAGCCAUCCCCACAACUGUCUGGUUGCGCCGCUCGACGACGCCGUUUUGCUGCGGGCUGUACGGCGCGGAGUAGUGGCGCUGGAUGCCCUCAUCGGCACAGUACGACGCGAAUUCAGCCGCCGUGAACUCGCCGCCGUUGUCAGUGCGCAACACGCGCAAUUUGCGGCCGCUCUCCGCCUCCACACCAACCUACGCGCGCCUGUUGGCGUCCGCCGCUUCUCCCUUACUGCCGAGGAUCAUCACCCACAUGUAGCGGGAGAGAUCGUCGACGAGCAGUAAAAAGUAGCGUCGACCUCCUAGUGUGGCUGGCGUCACCGGGCCGCACAGGUCUCCGUGCACGAGCUCCAGCUUCUCCUUGGCCCGAAAACUCGCCUGUUGGGGAAAGGGGAGUCGUCUCUGCUUCGUCAGCACGCAGAUGUCGCAGAACUGCUCCACAUGGUCGAAGGCCUCGCACCAUCCCCUUGGCACUUAGACGCUUCAGGGCCUCAAAAUGAAGGUGCCCAAAGCGCUCAUGCCACUGCCACGCCUCGUCGUCCCGACAGACCGCGAGACAGACCGGUUGUGCCACCUGCACAUCAAGGACGUAGAGUCGAUUUUCACCUCUGGGUACCUUGGCAAGAAGGCGACGCUGGCGAUCCCAGAUGCGUAGGACCCCAUGCUCAAUCAGCACGCGUGAGCCGUUCUCAUCCAGCUCUCCCAAGCUGAUGAUGGAGUUCCUUAGCGCGGGGAUGUAGUAAACACCGGUGAGCAGCCGAUGCUCUCUUGUCUUGGUGGUGAAGAUGACGGAACCGACGCCCUUUAUCUCCAUAGCGGAGGUAUCCCCAAACUUGGCGGAGCCUCGCGCAUCGGAGUCGAGCUCGGCGAAGAAUUCCCUUCGCCCGGUCAUGUGGUGGGUGGCGCCGGUGUCGAGGCGCCACCCUGUAGUCUUGUCCUUCCCAGAGCCAUCGCCGAGAAGAGCGUGUGCUUUUGGCUCAUUGAGAUGGAUGAAAGCCUUUGCGACUGGAGUCGCUGAAGGUAGCUCAAUGCUUGCAUGCGCCAUGAACAGAGCCGUCUCCUCCUCCUUCGCCUGUGCGACAUGAGCCUGGCCUUGUCGUGGUUGCCGACACUCAUUGGCCCAAUGGCCAAACCGGCCACAGUUGUGGCAACUGUUGUCUUGUGCUGGCUUGGGCUUGCCAGCGACGCCGUCCUUGGCGCCUCCGCGGGCGUCACCCUCGGCACGUCCUUGUGCCCUGCCCGGGGGGCCUCUUCGCGCCUUACGCUGCUUGCCACGCUUGCGGCCGCCCGUCGUGGAAGAAGGCUCCCCCUUCUUCCUGUCACCAAGGCUGGCAUCCCACGGCUCCCGAGUUAGGAGCAGCUUCCCGCCGGUGGUGAUGGGUGCCGAGGAAGGUUGUGGCUCGUCGGUGUCGACGACCAUGAGGCGACCUAUCGCCUCCUCGAUCGUCAUCGUGGAGAGGUCCAGCAAAGACUCGAUCGACCGAGCCAUCUGCUUGUACUUCUCGGGGAUGCACCGAAAAGGCUUCUCGACAGCUCUCUCCUUGGUGUAGGUGGCAUCGCCAAACUGCACCAACUUCUGCAGCAGAGUGUUGAGACGGAGAGCAAAGUCAUCAACGUCCUCACCUGGCUUGAAAACCAGGCUCUCCCACUCCUUACGGAGUGCCUGCAGGGUGGACUUGCGAGCACGAUCGCUGCCGAUGCGUGCCGCGGCGAUGGCGUCCCAAGCCUCCUUGGCAGUCCGCUUGUUGGAAAGCAAGAACUGCAUCUCGGGCGGGACUGCGGCGAUGAGGGCGUCCAGCGCCCGUCGAUCCUCUAGGUGGUCGACGUUGCUGUCCUGGACUGCCUCCCAUAGGCGCCGCACCUGGAGCCUGAUCUUCAUGAUCUCGGCCCACUCGACGUAGUUGGUUUUAGUGAGGGUGGGCCACCCAACACUGGAACCAACAUCCCUGACCACAGUCCGGACCUCGUAGAGGCCGCGGUCCUGGUCAUUGCAGCCGCCGUCGCGGUGCACGCCUGCACCUGGAGCGUGGGCGUGCUCGGCUGCCCACUGCGCCGUCCGCUCUUGCGCCACUUUGGCGCUGGCGCGAUCUGCAUCGACGCCGUCGUCCGCAGCCGCGGAGCUGUUGUAGCUGUCGGAGCCGCCGCGGAGUGCCUUGGCAUCCGCCGCAGCCUCGCGUGUUGCGUCUGCUGCCGCUGCAGCUUCUACCUCCGCCCUGGCUGCUUCUACCUCCGCUGCAGCCAGCCUCGACACCCUUGCUGCCGCAGCAGCUGCUGCUACAGCUGCUCGCUCACGCUCCUCUGCCGCGGGGCGCUCGGCCUCCUGUCGGCGCCGCAUGCUCGAGGUAGCCGUGUGCUGAGAGCGACCUGUAGACAUGGCUCGCUGCAGGGGGGCUGUUGCGUGAAGAGGAGGCUGUUGAAGAUGAACUGCUGCUUGACAGUCCGGAGGGAGGGAGGUAACCAGAGGCAGACGGAGCAGCUGCUGCUACCGACUUAGGCUGCCCACAGGAAAUGCUCAAGGUACAAGAUAACCUGGCUCUGAUACCACUUGUUAGACCUUUCAACCUGAGCAUUGAUAGUUGUGGAUGACACUAGGAGAGUUGGGACAAUUUUCGUUGGUUUAUUUCUCACACAAUGCCAUGCCAACCUGAGGGGUUGGGGAUACAUAUUUAUAGGCUGCUAGCCAGCCAAGCAUAUGCUAAGAUGCUGCUAAGAUGCUAGUCUAAGAUGAUAACUCACAGUCCUUGAUGGUCAAGAACAGAACUCUAUCCUAACAGCCAGUCCUUGAUGGUCCAGGAUUUUAUCCUCCUAACUGCCACAAGGACCAUGUGCUGCAGCCCCACAAAGACCCUAGUACACAGACUUAUCCA